CUCGUUGGUCUAGGGGUAUGAUUCUCGCUUCGGGUGUGAGAGGUCCCGGGUUCAAAUCCCGGACGAGCCCACUUCAUUUUCGCCCAAUAAGGUUUAAGGAUAUUUAAAGUAUUUCCCCAAAUAGUCAUACCCAAAAAUAUGUACUUUCACCACAUCAACAGUAGAAUUGUCUAAGCAGGCGAGUACUGAAUCCGGACUUCUUCUAAGGGCAGACACCGGAAUGUUGAUGCGGCUGCAGCUGCGCUCUCCCACCUCUGUCUGUCUCUUCUCAAACCCCGAAAGGAAGAC
rnacentral:tRNA from 1 species